rnacentral:lncRNA from 1 species
CUGGCCCGGGAAGGCUAUGAAACAGGCAACAUGGACAAUUUAAAGGUGUACAACAUCCGAGGUUCCAUUUCACCCUCAGGCAGCACGGAGUGGACAAGGUAAGGCCACCCUCCACUUUUCUUCUGGCUACUAUAUUGAUUCUCUGGAAACUCUCUCUGCUCCAAAAGAAACCACCCAAUCCCAUGGAGAAAAGGUGACACUGAAUUUGCACUGCUUUUUAUGGUUGCAUUUGUUUGACUAAGAGGGAGCAGAGUUCCAUACAACAGACUGCUUUAGUUGGGUGACUUGAAAAUAACACAUACCAGAUUAGUUCUCCAGAUGCAGAUUAGUACUAAGUUUGAAUCCUUUCUUUUAAAUUAAUUAAUGUAAUCUCAAUGUUUACAUAAUAGACAUUGACUUUUAUCUGGCACAUACAGUAUAUGACUCUGCCUUUAGCAAAAAUACCAUUCAAGCUAUCUUUAGCAGAUGUGAAUGUUUUAUUUUUAUUUUGGGGACUCCAAAGAGAGUCCAUAACCUACCUUGGCAUUGUCAGAUCUCAAAAAAAGCUUUCUUCAUACUUGCAAUAUAGUAAUAUCUAAGUACUUGGACAUCUCUGCACAAAAUAUAUGGGUCCACAUCUCCCUGUUUUUCCAUAUACUAUUCCCUCUGCAACCUUGUUCACAUAGCAAACUCUAAUUUAUUCUUCAAUAGGCAGCCUAUGCCACCUUCCCUCAACUAUCCCAGACCAGUAGUCAUCACUGCCUCCUCUACCCCUUGUACAUUUCUCUAUGUGGUCUCACCAGAGAAGUACUAUGUUUGCUCAUAUGUCUGGUCUCACCAGACAGUACCAUGUUUGCUCAACUCAAAGUUCCUUGAGGAAAUAAUUGUAUUUGUAUCUCCAGUGCCUUGCAUAUUUUGUAUCACAUAAUGAGUUCUAUAAAAGAGAACUAAACUGAUGUGGCUAUGAAAUGAUUUACAGCUUUUAACUGGAAUGAGCCUAGUACAAGACUCACUUAGAUGCUGGUGGUUGAUCCUAAGUUUCUCAUGCUGUUAUCUGCAAUCAUUUGCUCUUGCUCUACAUUCAGAAGAGAAAGAAAAACUGGUGACACUAAUCUGGCCUCUAUAUCAUAAUUAGACCAGGGGUAGGAUCUGAGAAACUAGAAAAUAUUUAGCCUACCCCUAGUCACAUCCUAAAAGACAUCAAUGUGGAACUCAAGGAACUCAGUGGAUUUACCAACAUUUAUCAUACCCUAUAUCCACCCAUUAUAACUACUUGAAUUGUCAUGGAUGGGAACAGAAGAUAGAUUUUAUUGUGGAGAACAGAAUAAAUCUAAUAAAAGAAAUAACUAGAGGAAAAGUUGGGGCUAGUUGACGUUUUUAAGUAGAGAUGGGAAAAACAUAAAUGAUGGUGGUCAGCACAGAAAGUUUUGAAUAUAAGGACUUUAGAAAUCAAUGUGGUCACUCUUUUCUAGUAAUAGGCUGACCAUGGACAAAAAUAAUAGGAACAUUAUUCCCUAGUUCCUUUGCAAUGUACUGUACUGUUAUUUAAGCAUCCCAGCAUCAUGCUUGCUUUGAUAAAUACAAAUCUAGCUCAAUUGCCAUGAUUCUGCUUUGAGGCUCUCUCUUUUUUAAUGAUUUAUAUGUCAUGCUCCCCAAAAGUCUUUCUAAAAUUAUACCAAAGGGAAAGAAGCAAAAAAAGGGGAGCUUAAAUGUUCUGAGGAGCUGUUAGAUGUGCCUGGUGCUUGCUAUGCACUUCUUUUUGAGACAGAGUCUCCCUCUAUUGCCCAGGCUGGAGUGCAGUGGCGUGAUCUCAGCUCACUGCAACCUCCGCCUCCAGGGUUCAAGGGAUCAUCCCACCUCGGCCUCCUACUAGAUGGAAAUACAGGCCUGAGCCACCACAACCAGCUUGCUAUGCACUUUAUAUACACCAUCUAUAUGUAUACCACCCUCCCAACAACUCCACUUGGUAGGAAUAAUUAUUCUCAUUUUAAAUCAGUUUUAACCUAGGUGUCUCUGGUUCUAGAUCUAGUAUUUUUUCUACAAAUAAUACGGUUCCAAUUUCUUUCUUUUCUUUCUUUUUGUAGAGAUGGGGUCUCACUUUGUCACCCAGGCUGGGCUCAAACUCUUGGCUUCAAGCGAUCUUCUCGCCUUGGUCUCCCAAAGUGCUGGGAUUACAGGCUUGAACUACUGUACUCGACUGACUUUUCCUAUUUCUAAUGUCAGCAUGAAGAACACAAGAAGUCAGCUUCAAAGAGUCUAGAAGAGCAAACAUUCACUUUGCAGCCUCCCUUGUACCAAGGAGUGGCCAUGAGACAAUUCUGCCCAAUGAAUCAGAAGAGGAAUUGUGUUGAGGAUUUCUGGAAAGACUACUUCUUUUCCCAAGAAAAAGUGACAGACGCAGUAGGGGCUGAGCAACUUCCGUGCCUCUUCCAGCCUUACGGAUGUGCUGUUGGUAGCUGUGACUGCCUUGCUACUACGAGGAAAAGGAAGGCCAAGAGAAUAGCAGAGACACUCGCUCUGAUGCCUUUGAGCCAAUGAAUCAAUGCCAGAAGCAGCUGACCUCCAGAGUUCUUGUUACAGGAUUAAAAUAAAUCUCUACUUAUUUGCCAUUGUCA